UACAGAGGGGGCAAGCGUUGUUCGGAAUUACUGGGCGUAAAGGGCGCGUAGGUGGCCUUCUAAGUUGAACGUGAAAUCCCUGGGCUCAACCCAGGAACUGCGUCCAAGACUGGGAGGCUUGAAUCCGGGAGAGGGAUGCGGAAUUCCAGGUGUAGCGGUGAAAUGCGUAGAUAUCGAGAGGAACACCUGCGGCGAAGGCGGGUAGCUGGGCCGACACUGACGCUGAGGAGCGAAAGCCAGGGGAGCAAACGGG
rnacentral:rRNA from 1 species